AACCUCGUGGCGCAGUGGUUAGCGCGCCGUUCUUAUAUCAAAAUCUUCUGGAUUUGGUAUGAUAUCAUCCCAGGUAAUGCGGAUGUCGCGAGUUCGAAUCUCGCCGGGGUUA